rnacentral:rRNA from 1 species
UCACCGGAUAAGACAGCGGAAUGAUAGCCGGGCUGAAGACUCUGCUUGACUAGCUGAGAGGAGGUGCAUGGCCGUCGUCAGUUCGUACUGUGAAGCAUCCUGUUAAGUCAGGCAACGAGCGAGACCCACGCCAACAGUUGCCAGCAUGUCCUCCGGGAUGGUGGGGACACUGUUGGGACCGCCUCUGCUAAAGAGGAGGAAGGAAUGGGCAACGGUAGGUCAGCAUGCCCCGAAUUAUCCGGGCUACACGCGGGCUACAAUGGUCAGGACAAUGGGCAUCAACACCGAAAGGUGAAGGCAAUCUCUUAAACCUGUCCUUAGUUCGGAUUGUGGGCUGCAACUCGCCCACAUGAAGCUGGAAUCUGUAGUAAUCGCGUCUCAAAAUGGCGCGGUGAAUAUGUCCCUGCUCCUU